CUACGGAGGGUGCAAGCGUUGUUCGGAAUCACUGGGCAUAAAGAGCACGUAGGCGGUCUGCUAAGUCUGAUGUGAAAGCCCUCGGCCCAACCGGGGAACUGCAUUGGAUACUGGUUGACUAGAGGACAGGAGGGGUGAGUGGAACUCCUGGUGGAACGGUGAAAUGUGUAGAUAUCAGGAGGAACACCGGUGGCGAAAGCGGCUCACUGGCCUGUCUCUGACGCUGAGGUGCGAAAGCUAGGGGAGCGAACGGGAUUAGAAACCCCAGUAGUCC
rnacentral:rRNA from 1 species